GGUUCAAGCGAUUCUUGCACCUCAGCCUCCAAAGUAGCUGGGAUUACAGGUGUGAGCCAGUGUGUCCAGUCUUUGUUUGCUUUUCAGGUUCAAGGAACACAUUGUUCCCUCAAAAAACAGACCGGCAGCUGAGAGAGGAUGGCAAUCCUGAUGGAUGAGAAAAAGAACAGAGCUAUUUAAGGAUUCAAUAUGGACUGCCUCAAAUAUAAAGGGACACAUUUGCUACAUGGUCCAGAGACUUGUGUUCCUGGCCCAGAAUCUCCUUGUCCUAUCAAUUGUUGGAAAGACACUGCCUGCAUUUGCCCUUUUGCCUCUCUCUGUUCUGUACUUGCACUAUCAAAUAAAAACAAUUUCUAAUGGAUAGGCAUGUUUACUCAUAAGAGUUUUUAAGUGAUGUGUAAACUAAAUGCUGAAAUUUUAAGCUAAAAUGCUACUUAUUCGCUUGCAUGGAAAUACUAGGUAAUAACUGACUAAGUGCUGUGCUGACUUUAUGUGGAAGCAAGAUGGAGUUUCAGUAACAUUCUCCACGUGCUGUUCUGAAAAAUCAUGAAUACCUGAUUAUACAUAAAUUCUCUUUGAAAGGGAAUACAGUGUUUUUACUUAGCAGGAACAAAAUGGUUUUUCAGUUUUUCCAUAUAAGCAUCUCUCUUCGAAAUGUUUCAUUUUGGCAAAAGCUAACAGAAUAAUAUAUACAAAGAUGACCAAUGAA
rnacentral:lncRNA from 1 species